UAAAACAACCUCUAAUCUUCAACAAAUCAUCAAACAUUUUUCUCAUCUUCAGUAAUCAAACCGAUUCAACAAACCCCUCUCAAAAUGAAGUUCUUCGCUGUAUUGUUCGCUGCCUUCUUCGCCAUGAGCAUGGCUAGCCCCGUGGAGCUGGAGGAGCGACAGGACUUCAUCAACACUAUCAUCGAGAUGGUCAAAGGAUUUAUUUGCGGCAUGGACAGCCUUCCAUUCGACAACCCUAUGCUCCAGAUGGUAUUCAACAUGGUCAAAGGAUUCCUGCAAUGCCCCGAAGGACAAGAAUAAGAUAUAUUCACUUUUAGUGUUACGUCAUGUUUUGAGUCAAUAAAACAGCUAUGAAAAAUGUUUUAAAAA